rnacentral:rRNA from 1 species
UACGGGGGGAGCAAACGUUGUUCGGAAUCACUGGGCGUAAAGGGCGUGUAGGCGGCUGAAUAAGUGGGAUGUUAAAUCCCCCGGCUCAACCGGGGAACCGCAUUUCAUACUGUUCAGCUUGGGUACAGCAGAGGAGACUGGAAUUCCCGGUGUAGCGGUGAAAUGCGUAGAUAUCCGGAGGAACACCAGUGGCGAAGGCGAGUCUCUGGGCUGAUACCGACGCUGAGGCGCGAAAGCCAGGGGAGCAAACGGG